UACGAAGGGGGCUAGCGUUGUUCGGAAUUACUGGGCGUAAAGCGCGCGCAGGCGGUCCUUUAAGUCAGGGGUGAAAUCCUGGAGCUCAACUCCAGAACUGCCUUUGAUACUGGCGACCUUGAGUUCGGGAGAGGUGAGUGGAACUGCGAGUGUAGAGGUGAAAUUCGUAGAUAUUCGCAAGAACACCAGUGGCGAAGGCGGCUCACUGGCCCGAUACUGACGCUGAGGUGCGAAAGCGUGGGGAGCAAACAGG
rnacentral:rRNA from 1 species